rnacentral:lncRNA from 1 species
GACACUGGGUCCCGUGAAUGGCAAUCCCUCCCCUUAAGAACCCUGGCUGGCACGGCUCCCGGACUCAGCCGGGUUCUGCCCACUAGGUCGGCCCCUCAGGAUAUCCUAACAUUCCCUCAAUUACCGUGACAUCCCCAAUAACUAGUCUUUUUUUUUUUCCUAAGUCACCCAGAGUCAAUCUCUCUUGUUAGGAAAUGACAGAUAUAAUCUGAUACAUUAUUGGAGAUUUAAUCUGUUCAUGAUAUAGUGCCAAUCAUGUUAUUUCUCACAAUUCCCCGAGAAAGUUCUUCUCUAAAACCCAACAGUUCUAUAAAUUUCACUUUUCUGUGUGGAAUUUCCUCUCCUCCCUGUUACUCGUCUCUCAAAGCCUUUCUGUCCCAGCUCCUUCCUGAAACUUCUUUAGUGGUCAAUGGUCUCUCAUUCCUCUGAGCUCUUACACCACUGCUGGUAGAAACCAUUCACUGAACAUGUAUCACAUCUGGGUGUUGAUUGCCAUUUAUCUUUUCACUUGUAAAUAAUGCAUCUUCCCAAUUAGUUGCAAGCCACUUGGAAGCAGAGAACAAAUCUUGAAUUUGUUUUAAAAUGUUUUUCUCUUUAAUGCUUACAUGCUUCUAUGCUACUUUUAUUCCUAAUGCUUAUUGUUUAAAUGUUUCUCCUGUACCAUAUCAUGUCUUAUAAAUAUUUAUUGAAUUAAUGGAGGAAAUGUAUACCUGUUUAAACUUAUAAUUAAAGAGAGCUGGGGAUAAUAGUAUUUGUUUUUCCAAAAAUGCUUCCAAUUAUCCAUUCCCUCAUCAGUUCACAUGCGGCAGGGAAAUGCAACAGUCGCUUUGUAGCACGUCUGCUCCGUAAUUGCUCCUGUCAGGGUGAUUAAUGGAUAGGGCUUUGUGACCAGGAACCUCUAUGGUGACCCAGUGGUCAGCAGAGGCCACUUGUCUCUGAUAUUUCUAUCCCUGCAUGAGGUUUUUUUAAAAAACGAAGUUAUGGCUUUGGAAAACAACUAAGGUUGCAUUAUGGUACAUUUGCAUACAUAUUCCCAGAGCCUGUCCGUAGCUAAUUGCAUCCAGGCAGGAGGCUUGAUUUGCUUCCCAGGCCCUCCUGACUGGGACUUGGGCCAGUCCCUCCAGGCUGAAGGCAGGCCACUGCCUGGGGCCAAAGGUCUUUUCUUCCUUGGGCCCGCCCUCUGCAUGGGCCCGCCUGGCCUGCUGACAUCUCAGGCUGAGGCUCUGCUCUGGUCCUGCAGGGCAAGGCUGGACAGGGCUGGGGAUGGGAGGCUGCAGAGGCUGAUGGGAAUUGGGGUCCCCCACUCCACCGGCAUUGACUUAAGGUCCAGUCACCCAAGGUUAAAGGGCUCUCCACCCUGUCAUGUACACCCUUCAUACUGCUGCUGUGAGUGACCUUGUUCCUCUUCUUCCGAGACCCUAAAGUUGCUCUAGGCUACAACUGCCCCCUGGUGACUUGAUGGAAAGUAACAACUCUUCCCCAAGGAGGAAAACAGCAGUGGCUGGAGCUAAGGGUGGAAGGCUAUCUGAGUUCCGGGAGCAGAGAAAGUGUGGCUUUGGAGGGUGACACUCAGAGACUGUGCUCCCUGGGAAAGCCUGAGGGCUGUCAGCUGAUGCUCUUUCUGUUCCACCUGCCAGUCAGGGUCCCAGGUCCCUGGGAGCUGCUGGUGUACUGGUCCUAGCAAAGCAGUAUUAGUGUACCAGGUGCAUAACUCAGUGAUGCUGUGCGGGGUUAUACAUAUUCAGUGGAUGUUCCUACUUAAUCCUCACAACAACCACAGAAGGCAGGGACUCUUAUUAAUCCCAUUUUGCAGUGGCAGAAACUAAGGCACAGAGAAGUUAAGUAACUUGUCCAAAGUUGCACAGCUCCUAUUCUUAUAAUAAGUAUUCUUAUAAGAAUAACAAGAAUUCUUGUAAGAAUAAUGAGUACUCCUGUAGGUACCCUUCCUAGUUAACUCUUUGUCCUAGUAAUCAUAGAAACCUUGCAGUUAUAUUUCAGGAUUCAAUUUAGCAAUAUUAGGUAAAAGCCUUCUACUUGAUCAUUUAACAUUUAUUUAUUGAGCACCUAUUAACCUGUGGCCUCGUUCUACAAGUUGAAAGAAAUACCAAAAAAAAACAAAAAAUGAUAAACACUGACAACGAUAUAGUUUAGGAGAAAAGAACUUUUUCUCCCCAUGCCUGCCUUGUUAUAUAUGGCUCUGGCUGUAGGCAUAGCUGCAUACAGGUGUCCACGUGCAUGCAGGCACCGUUAGUGGAGCCAGGCUGGGCAGCAGGGCAGUGGUCAGGAGGGCAGCGCCCAGCUUGUCCAUGAGAGGCUCUAUUGCUCACUAGCUGCAUGACCUUGAACAUUCAUUUAACUUCCCCGUGUCUCAAUUGUCUCAUCUGUAAAGUGGGAAUAAUCAUAACUCCUAAUUCUGCGGGAGCGCGGUGAGAAUUAGAAUUUGUACGUGAUGAGGGCUUAGAAUAGUGCUGGACACGUUGUGAGCAUCAACUGCAGCUACCGUUUUCCUUGUCUUUCUGCAACUCUGUGCGUAUCUAAUUUAGAAGAACCACUUCCUCUUGGAAGCCCCUCUAACCCCUGCCCCCGCCUCCCCAGCACCUUCCCACAGGAUGGGUUGGCUGUCCCUUGGGCCGAUUUCUGUAAAAUCUUGUGUGUUCUGCAUGGACCGCACAUUCCUGUCAUACAUGUUUAGUCUAGAUCUACCAUGUGCCAAGCACACAGGAGGAGCAGUGAGCAGACAGGCAAUCCUUCUCUGCUGGAACUUAGCCUGGCGGGAGUGGCGUUUAGUUGUGAAGCCACCAAUAAAUAUCGAAAGCCCAAGAAUCAUAAGGAGAUGGUCAGGGGACUUCACCUUCUCAGAAGCAGAGGUUAACUGAAGGUGAAGAAACGCUUCGGGAAGGGUUGACGUUGAAGGCGAGACCCGAAGGAGAUGCAGGAGUUGGCACGGGUUGGGGGGGGUGGGCAGGGCAGGGAGAGGAUGUCUAGGCAGAGGGAACAGGAGGUGCGGAGCCUAGAAUCACGAGCACCCGCCGGGCAGCAGGCAGAGCUCAGGACCCCAGGAGUGUGUGCACGUGGGCCGGGCCCCUCGGGGAGCUGGGUGGGUGCUCUGCCCCGUUAUUUUCCCCUGAGCUCUCUGAUGGUGUCGACUUGCCUGGAUCCUCACAUCAAUGGUGUUUAAAACUGGGGAAACGGAGAGAUGAAAUAACUUGCUCCGCUCAGCACCAUGGUAAAGGGCAGAGCUGGGACCUGAGCCCAGGCUGCAGAGCAGAGCCCUGCCCUCUGGGUGAUGCUAGAUCAGCUUCACGCAUACACAGGAGACCAGGUAACAAGGGAGUGCUCAAGUCUCUCCGGUAAGUUUAUGAUCAGAGACAGAGACUUUUGUGGAAGCUGUGAAGCAAAACAAGUCCUCUCUCUUGAAUUGAUGGAAAUGGCAAUUUGGGGAAAGUUGAAAUAUAUCCAAUGACUUUUUGGCAUCUUUUAAUCACCUGAAGUGAUCUUCUUGAUUCAGAAACAUAAAAUGCAUUAUUAACAAGGAGGGUUACUAUUGCCCUGGUCGUAUUGGUAUGUUUUCUUAUAUCCCACCCCGCUAUCCCCAAGCAAAAAGACAAAAAUGAAAACCACCAAAACUAAAUGUUUUUGGUGAGAAAUAUUUUUAUAGCUAUUUUUAAGUGAAAUUUAAAAAAAUUCAGUGUAGGGCUUCUCUGGUGGCACAGUGGUUGAGAGUCCGCCUGCCGAUGCAGGGGACACGGGUUCGUGCCCCGGUCCGGGAGGAUCCCACAUGCCGCGGAGCGGCUGGGCCCGUGAGCCAUGGCCGCUGAGCCUGCGCGUCUGGAGCCUGUGCUCCGCAACGGGAGAGGCCACGACAGUGAGAGGCCCGUGUACCG